GGGGCGCUAGCACGCGGAGCGCGCUUCGGGAUGAGGCGGGACGGGCGAGCUUUAGACCCUGUACCAGCUUGAAUGACCUCUGAACUUUCACUUCACUGGGACCACAUUUGGGCUCCUGAAGAAGAGAAGCACUAGAAAGUUUGCCAGCAGAAAGAAGGGAAGAUGGAAAGCACAGUCUAAGGAACACACAGCACAGCCACAUACCUGAGGCCCACAGAUAGAAGGCACCCACAGGAAUUUGGUCUCAAUGUGCUAAAGCUCUGAUGAAGCACCCAGUGACUGCUGGCUCCCAUGUCCUAUUUUGGAAGGCUGAGUGCUGCCUUCCUCCCCAACACUCCCCUAUUGCUGGGGCAAUGCUUUCUACAAGCUGACCUCAGCAUACAGCCAAAUAAAAAUACUGGUACUAGAUGGGCUCUGGUGACAUCUUUAUCCUAUUUGCAAUGGAUAAGGUAGGCUGUGAUGUUAGGAGCCCCCAAAUUGGUGCUGAAACAGGAGCUACUGUUGCUCUUUAACCCUGUUUUGUGCAGCUGAACACAGAUGUUCUCUUCCUACCACCUCACUCCCUAUUGCAGCUAAUUCUCAUUGUUCACAAAGGUUUAGUGCUGAGCUUGUUUCAUUGCGGAUAGCAGUGUCUGUGAGCAGAAAUAGGGAGGAACCUUCCAUUACAACUCAGCUAAAAAGCCUACUGCAAUAAAGGAUAAG